rnacentral:rRNA from 1 species
UACGUAGGGGGCAAGCGUUGUCCGGAAUUACUGGGCGUAAAGGGUGCGUAGGUGGUUUUUUAAGUCCGUUGUGAAAUCCCUGGGCUCAACCUGGGAAUGGCAGUGGAUACUGGAAAGCUAGAGUGCGGUAGAGGGUAGUGGAAUUCCCGGUGUAGCAGUGAAAUGCGUAGAGAUCGGGAGGAACACCAGUGGCGAAGGCGGCUACCUGGACCAGCACUGACACUGAGGCACGAAAGCGUGGGGAGCAAACAGG